UACAGAGGGUGCGAGCGUUGUCCGGAAUCACUGGGCGUAAAGGGCGCGUAGGCGGUCGCGUAAGCGUGUGGUGAAAGCCCGGGGCUCAACCCCGGGUCGGCCAUGCGAACUGCGGGACUGGAGCCGAUCAGAGGCAGGCGGAAUUCCGGGUGUAGCGGUGGAAUGCGUAGAGAUCCGGGAAGAACACCGGUGGCGAAGGCGGCCUGCUGGGAUCGAGCUGACGCUGAGGCGCGACAGCGUGGGGGAGCAAACAGG
rnacentral:rRNA from 1 species